rnacentral:pre_miRNA from 1 species
AAUGUUUGACGCCGUUGAUUUUUUAUCCAACGUUUGACCAUUCAUCUUAUUCAAAAAAAAUUAUGUAAUUAUCAUUUAUUUUAUUGUGACUUGAUUCAUCAUCAAAUGUUCUUUAAGCAUGACAUAAAUAUUUUCAUAUUUACACAAAAAAUUUGAAUAAGAUGAAUGGUCAAAUGUUGGAUAAAAAGUCAACGGCGUCAUACAUU